rnacentral:rRNA from 1 species
GAUGAACGCUGGCGGCGUGCCUAAUACAUGCAAGUCGAGCGAACAGACGAGGAGCUUGCUCCUCUGACGUUAGCGGCGGACGGGUGAGUAACACGUGGAUAACCUACCUAUAAGACUGGGAUAACUUCGGGAAACCUGAGCUAAUACCGGAUAAUAUAUUGAACCGCAUGGUUCAAUAGUGAAAGACGGUUUUGCUGUCACUUAUAGAUGGAUCCGCGCCGCAUUAGCUAGUUGGUAAGGUAACGGCUUACCAAGGCAACGAUGCGUAGCCGACCUGAGAGGGUGAUCGGCCACACUGGAACUGAGACACGGUCCAGACGCCUACGGGAGGCAGCAGUAGGGAAUCUUACGCAAUGGGCGAAAGCCUGACGGAGCAACGCCGCGUGAGUGAUGAAGGUCUUCGGAUCGUAAAACUCUGUUAUUAGGGAAGAACAAAUGUGUAAGUAACUAUGCACGUCUUGACGGUACCUAAUCAGAAAGCAACGGCUAACUACGUG